GGAAGCCGUUAGGGUUUUGUUUAACAAUAAUAAUAUUCAGAAGCCCUCAGCCUUUAUCUCAUUCAUCCCAGAGAAUAUGCUUCUUGAAAUGAAGGCUGAUAUUCUUACUAAAGCAAAUGCUUGAUUUAUGACAAUUGAUUAAAUUUUAUAAAAUAUUAAAUAAUAUAUAAAAUCAUUACAAAAUAAUAAAUUUUUAGCUAAAUGCACUAGAUGUUGAACCAAGUUUUAAUGAAAAAGUUUUCAAGUUUAUUAGGUAUACGCAACUGAGUUUCUUUUAGUGGAAAGUUCAACUUUUCUUUCCACUUUCCAUCUAUCAGGAAUAUCUACUCAGCAGAGAAUUUGAGUGGGAAGAAGUCCUGAAAAUAAAUCUCAGGUUCGCCUAAUGAGACCAUUAAACUAAAAAGCAGCCAUUUUCAGUGUUUCCUGCAAUAUAUUCAUGUAAGGGAAUUAAUGCAAGUUUCUCUCCCAAACUUGCCAUAGAAAUCAAGCUCAUACAACCCCCAGACAAGUGCCACAGAUGACAAGGCUACAGGCACUGGACCCAACAGCCAUAUCAGCAAGGGAAAGGUGAUGCAGAGGACUCUGUUACCUAUGAGAGACAGCAAGAACCCUCGUUCAAAUACUGUUUGCACAUAUGUAGGUGAUGAUGAGAAAUCAUCAAAAAUAUUUAACAAGAAAUUGGCUUCGACCAAGAAUCCCAGUGCCAUAGAGCUGCACAGGAAGCUAACCAGCAGAAAUAAUGAAGCUGAGCCGAACUUUAAAACAGAGAUCCUCCCAACUUGUAACCCAAAAAAUGUGUUGCUCAGGAGAUGGCUUGAGAUGUAGGUGUUGUUGGUCAAAGCUGCCAAGGAUAAGUUUAUGAGAAUGGCAACUGAAGCAGUAAAAAUGGUUGCCAUUUGGGCGUUUCUCAAGCUUUGCACUGCUAACAUACCCUUCUUAUCAUCACCCUGCCUUUGGCAAAGAAAAUGAACCAUCAUCGACCAGCAGAGCUUAACUAUGAUAAAUAAAUAAAUAAUAAAGAUUCUCGGCUUAUGGGUUUACCUCCUUUAUGUCAAGAAACCAACCUUUCCUCCUCAGUGCGUUGAUUCCAAUGGUUGUUUGAGAGGGUUUGUUCUUGAAGCUAUGCCAUAGAUAGGCAUGGUAACCCACCAUAAGGAAGAGACUGAAAGGGACCAAUACAGUAUCCAGAUAAACAAUUAUACCCAUCUUCUAAUUCAGGCAGAGAAGUUAGAUUUGCAAGGAAGGAGUCACCCAUAAUUUAUAAGACGUAGAGUAAAAUUGUAGAAAGUUCUUAGCAGAGGGUUAAUGGUUUCUUCUAAUACAAGGAGUGUUAGUGGAGGUUUAGGCCAUGAUGUAAGGUAUACCUUUU
rnacentral:misc_RNA from 1 species